UUAUGACUCUGAAGCAAUGGAUGGAUGGCAGAAUGAGGAGCCAAAGCGCGUAACUGCUGCCGAUCAGCGCGGUGUCACGCCAGAGAGGGCAGGUCGGAUGUCCGCUGCCGUUCUGAGGAGACCGAGGCAUCUGUGUUGGCAGGCGGCGGGGAUGUCUCCAAGGCAACUGCCUUGGCUCCAUAUGCCGCUCGGAUCCGCAAAGUUAAUCACAGUUCCUGCAGAAACAAUGCUACUCUCCAAAAAGCCACGUGGAGUUUCUAGCACUUACCUCAAGCGUAAGCCAGAAGAAUGAGUAAGCACGUCUGAAAGACUUAAUAACUUUGUCCCUUCCUCCGUAUUCUUGCAUCUGAGUCAUGACAGCAAGCAGGAUACAGCAGAUAUUUAUGGGAGGCAUAAAGCAGGCACCUUCGGAGAGCGUAUGGUUUCUCUGCAGAUGUCGCUCUCUGGCAUUUCAAAUGC